rnacentral:rRNA from 1 species
CACCGGAAAAAGAAGAGUGGCGAACGGGUGAGUAACACGUGGGUAACCUGCCCAUCAGAAGGGGAUAACACUUGGAAACAGGUGCUAAUACCGUAUAACAAUCGAAACCGCAUGGUUUUGAUUUGAAAGGCGCUUUCGGGUGUCGCUGAUGGAUGGACCCGCGGUGCAUUAGCUAGUUGGUGAGGUAACGGCUCACCAAGGCNACGAUGCAUAGCCGACCUGAGAGGGUGAUCGGCCACAUUGGGACUGAGACACGGCCCAAACUCCUACGGGAGGCAGCAGUAGGGAAUCUUCGGCAAUGGACGAAAGUCUGACCGAGCAACGCCGCGUG